AGGACGAACGCUGGCGGCGUGCUUAACACAUGCAAGUCGAACGAGGUGCUUGCACCUAGUGGCGAACGGGUGAGUAACACGUGAGCAACCUGCCCCUGGCUCUGGGAUAGCCUCCGGAAACGGGGAUUAAUACCGGACAUGACCUUCUUCCGCAUGGUGGAGGGUGGAAAGUUUUUCGGCCAGGGAGGGGCUCGCGGCCUAUCAGCUUGUUGGAGGGGUAACGGCCCACCAAGGCGACGACGGGUAGCCGGCCUGAGAGGGCGACCGGCCACACUGGGACUGAGACACGGCCCAGACUCCUACGGGAGGCAGCAGUGAGGAAUUUCCGCAAUGGGCGAAAGCCUGACGGAGCGACGCCGCGUGUGGGAAGAAGGCCUUCGGGUCGUAAACCACUGUCGAAGGGGAAGAUAUUGACGGUACCCUUGGAGGAAGCCCCGGCUAACUACGCGCCAGCAGCCGC
rnacentral:rRNA from 1 species